rnacentral:rRNA from 1 species
GAUGAACGCUGGCGGCGUGCCUAAUACAUGCAAGUCGAGCGAAUGGAUUAAGAGCUUGCUCUUAUGAAGUUAGCGGCGGACGGGUGAGUAACACGUGGGUAACCUGCCCAUAAGACUGGGAUAACUCCGGGGAACCGGGGCUAAUACCGGAUAACAUUUUGAACCGCAUGGUUCGAAAUUGAAAGGCGGCUUCGGCUGUCACUUAUGGAUGGACCCGCGUCGCAUUAGCUAGUUGGUGAGGUAACGGCUUACCAAGGCAACGAUGCGUAGCCGACCUGAGAGGGUGAUUGGCCAAACUGGGACUGAAACACGGCCCAGACUCCUACGGGAGGCAGCAGUAGGGAAUCUUCCGCAAUGGACGAAAGUCUGACGGAGCAACGCCGCGUGAGUGAUGACGGCUUUCGGGUCGUAAAACUCUGUUGUUAGGGAAGAACAAGUGCUAGUUGAAUAAGCUGGCACCUUGACGGUACCUAACCAGAAAGCCACGGCUAACUACGUGCCAGCCGCCGCUGUAA